ensembl:lncRNA
CACACCACAGCCACAACAAGAGUAAGUCUAAAAACACGCAUUAACUUUAAAUUAAAUUACUUUUAAGUAAAUUCAAAGAAAUAUGUAAAGAUGAUGUCCAGUAAUAAGUUGCAAGUAAAUACAUGUUUGUUAUAAUUAGAAUAGUAUUUAACUGUUUUUUUUUUUUUUCAGUUUCUUUCAUUUUGUUCAUUGCAGAACACAUCACCAUUUAAACAUCUUUUCAUCAGGAUCUUGAGCAUCAAGCUACAAAUACUUCUACACAGCAUAAAGAUACCAAAACAUCAUUUAUAGUCAAAUGAAGUCAAAGAAGAUGAAUUUUCCAUCUGUAUUUAAGAUCGAACUGGCUAAAACCAUUUUUUUCAAAUCUGUUCCAGGAAACCUUUUGUUGAUUCCAUUGAACAUUUUGACUGAUUUCAAAUUUUCAUGUCCAUGCAGUCAAUCCUGGAAUAUAGGAAUGGCAAUCCUUGUUUUCACUGCACCUGCUCUUCUUGUUUUCGCUUUAACAUUUCUCAGUUUACAUCAAUCUAAAGAAAAGCAAGAAACAAGAAAUGACCAAGAAAACAAUAAACAAAGUGCAAGGAGAGAUGUCAAUGCAGAAGAAAAAGGAUUUAAUUGCUGUGUUAAUGUUUUAAUUAGUUUAUUUCCAUUUUUAAUGUGGAUAAUUCUGUUACUUAUAGAUGGGGAUUAUCUUGCCUGUAGUCUAACAUAUUGGGAAGGACAGUAUAAUUAUGAUAACAAACUACAAAUAAAAUGGUGCAAACCUACCGAAUUGAUGCUUGGUGAAGAAACUGAACUACAGAACCAGAUUCUCCUGUAUAUCAGAUACUCACAGCUUGCUGGUUAUAUUUUACUUUUUGUCUUAGGCAUUUUUUUAAUUGCUCUGACUUGUAUCUGCAAAAAGCAAAGGAGUAAGAAUAUGUCUGAGGAAGAAGAGCUGAAUGCAGAUCACUGAAAGAGGAGGAAAGUAUACAUUCUAGUGUCUGAUUCAAGUGACUGAGGUGUGUANCUAUAACAAAUAGUUUUCAACGUAAAAUCCUGUUGGAGAUAUAUCAAUAGAAAGUUAGAAAGAGAAUAGAAAGACAAUGUUAUUGCAGAUUCUUUGUCUAGAUAUCAUUUGUAAACUUGUAACCAUGUUUACUCUUAUUUGUGGGGGUGUUACGACCCUAAGGUUUGUUUUGUUAUUUCUCUGUUGUUUUGGGGUUGCCCUGUCCAAAUACCCACACUUGUGGUCUUGGCCACUUGAGACCGCGUGCACACGACAGGAAGUAUAUGCGCAAGACGUCGCAUGUCUUAAAAAUGCCUAAGUGCAGUGCCCUUAAUGCACACUAAAUCCACAUUAUCUCAAAUACUGCUCUGGAGCAGUAUUCGUGGCUUAGUAUAUCCCAUCAUCCCAACAUUCACAACUGCUUUUUAUCACUUAAUUAGAUGCUUCACAAAUUAAAUUAUAAUCUGCUACAGGGACUACUGAACAAACAUUUAGAAGUUUAUUUUAAAAUGCAAAAUAUUGAAAAAGAAAAAAAAAAAAAGAAGAAAAAAAAAAUCUGUAAACUUGUAUAUUUACAACACUGUAAGUGUGUCCCAAGAGGUAAUGAAACGUUCUGCACAUACUUGUGGUCUUCAUGCUCACUUGAACACUUGGGCCAAAUAGAGGAAAUAGUAGUAGUCAAGUGCAAAGACCGCAAGUGUGGGUAUUUGGAGAGGGCAUUAGUGUCUAGUCAAUAUAGGAUGCAUCAUCUGAUUGGCUCCUGCAGGCUGAUUGUUGCUGUCUCCUGAUUGGUGCACAGCAUUUAAAAAUCACUUCCUCAGUAACCAUAUUGUGAUCUUAGUCAUGUAAUUUGUAUUAUGCAUAGCUUGUGCCUUAGAGUUUGUAUGUAUAGUAGAGAUGUGAGAUUGUUUUUUGUUGGUGUCUGUUUGACACUGAUUUUUGGAUUGUCCUCUAAAUUUGUUUACUUGGCUCUGUAAAUAGAUUUUAAAAUGUUGUAAAUGUAGAUAACUGGAAUAUUAAGGAGUCUGAUGCCAUUUUUUUGUGAACUUUUCAUCUCUGUUUUUGAGUUAGGUAGUUAGGUCAGUGAAUUUUUUUUUUUAAAUUUUUUUUUUUUUUUUUUUUGGUUAGGUAAGGUUUAAAAACUAAGAAUGUUUUGUUUGUUAUUUUGGCCUUGUCAGCUCCCAAACCAAAAUGCCCAAUAAAAUGCUAUUGUUUUGCA